ensembl:lncRNA
AAGACUGCUCAAAAUCUCCUCAGAGCUCAGAACUUCAGUUGGAAACCCUGGCCUGAGAAUUCCAACAGAUUUUUAUCUCUCAUUCUAAACUGGUUUAAGAUCAUUUGACAGAAUUUUUCUCUCCUGCCACUUAACUUAUCAGAAAACUAUUCCAAAUCCUAUUCAAUAAUAUUCCCAAUAAUCUACAUGUAAAAAUAAAAUUUAAAUCACAUUUUAAAAAAGAAUUAUUGAGAAGGGAAGAAUGUCUUUGCCAGGAACACCCCAUGGUCAGCAUGGUCCAUAGCAUCAUGAAGAGCUGGAUAUGACUUAAUGACUGAACAAAGGCUGAAUAGUUGCAUUGAUCCUAUGGAUCCUGGUAUCACAUUGAGCUGUGUUAGGAAACCUAUGGAAUUCAUGCAGGAGGGAGCUGUUUCCUUUCACCUCUCCACAAGAGACUGAGAACAUUUCUCACAUCCACCCCUCUGUACAGCAGCCCAAUGGAAGAGCUUCCCUCAUCCACUGUCUGGGGGUGUGAAGGUAUAAAAUGUGAAGUAGAUAUAUACUACUGCUUAUUAUACAUGGCAAGUUGUAUGGCAAGAUUUUUGUGUGUAGAGAAACCACAUGAAACCACUAACAAAUGUUGGCUCUCUUGUCCGGAGAGUAUUGAGUGUGCAAAGGUAGAGUGUUACUAUGCUGAGGAGCACAACAAUAGCUACCACAGUUUAUGUGCUGCUGGAUGGACUUGCAAAACCUUCCUAUUGAAUAUUAAUGGUUGCGAAGAAAAUGGAUACCAGCAUGGAGCUAUCUGUGAAGAUGGAAUUAAUGAAUACAGGUGUGGGUGUCUUCAAGGAGGUGAUGGAUUCUUCUGCGGAAUAAAGACAAAUAUGUGUGUGUCUGAGACCUGUAAAAAUGGAUCUACCUACAUGUGUUUAAAUGACCAUGUCUUCUGGCAGUGUGACACUGGAUUUAUAGGUCUUUCCAGUUCACAUGAAAAUACUUCAGUGCAUCAUCCCUUUCAUCACAAUAGAAUUCCAUCAUCAUCAGGAGGAGCCUCCUGUUGUUCAUUUAAUAUAAAUGGGAAUACUUGUGAACUCAUUUGAUAAAAACAACAUCUACAUUCUAUUCCAGGACAAAUGUGGAAGAAUAAGGGAUUUGUCACAACAUCUGGAAAAAAGGAUAGCAUAUGAGAACCAACUCUUAGAAGAAGUGAACUUGCCAAAGGAAGUGGUGGUGAUUCAUUACAAGGCUCACUUCUCUGGCAAGGAUGAGGUAUUCCUAGGAAAUCACAGGGUUGAUGUAACAGCAAGAUUCGCUGCAAGAUUUGGUCCUAUCUAUGUUCUGAAUUUCUCUCUGGUGGAUAAGCAUGAUCUCAAGCAAACAUACUUCCAAGAGGAGAUUCGGGCAUGGCAAGAACAUCUAGGGGCCAGAUUAGUCAAAGGAAUCUGUUUAUCACAAAGAGGGAAAGUCCAUCUUGCCCAAAAGGCUGUACUAACAUCUAUGCAAUGUAAUUCAUUCCAGAGGUCAUUACAGAGUGCAAUCCAUGCUAGAUGAGGUCUGCCUGUUUUGGGAAGGUCCAGGGAUAUCAAAUAUAUAACUAUAUAUACAUAUAUAUAUAUAUACAUAUAUAUAUAUAUAUAUAUAUAUAAGAUAUAUAACAAAUGUUAUAAGAGUGUGUCAGGCAUGUGACAUCUGUAGAAAGUUUAAUAAAGGUCAUUUCAAAAGCA